rnacentral:rRNA from 1 species
CGCUGGCGGCGUGCCUAACACAUGCAAGUCGAGCGGAGACAGGGAGUAGCUUGCUAUGAGCUGUUUUAGCGGCGGACGGGUGAGUAACGCGUGAGCAACCUUUCCCAGACAGGGGAAUAACACACCGAAAGGUGUACUAAUACCGCAUAAGACCACGGGAUCACAUGGUUCUGAGGUAAAAGAUUUAUCGGUUUGGGGUGGGCUCGCGUCCGAUUAGGUAGUUGGUGAGGUAACGGCCCACCAAGCCGACGAUCGGUAGCCGACCUGAGAGGGUGAUCGGCCACAUUGGGACUGAGACACGGCCCAAACUCCUACGGGAGGCAGCAGUGGGGAAUAUUGGGCAAUGGAGGAAACUCUGACCCAGCAACGCCGCGUGGAGGAAGAAGGUUUUCGGAUCGUAAACUCCUGUCCUUGGAGACGAGUAGAAGACGGUAUCCAAGGAGGAAGCCCCGGCUAACUACGUGCCAGCAGCCGCGGUAAUACGUAGGGGGCUAGCGUUGUCCGGAAUAAUUGGGCGUAAAGGGCGCGUAGGCGGCUCGGUAAGUCUGGAGUGAAAGUCCUGCUUUUAAGGUGGGAAUUGCUUUGGAUACUGUCGGGCUUGAGUGCAGGAGAGGUGAGUGGAAUUCCCAGUGUAGCGGUGAAAUGCGUAGAGAUUGGGAGGAACACCAGUGGCGAAGGCGACUAACUGGACUGUAACUGACGCUGAGGCGCGAAAGUGUGGGGAGCAAACAGGAUUAGAUACCCUGGUAGUCCACACUGUAAACGAUGAAUGCUAGGUGUAGGGGGUAUCGACCCCUUCUGUGCCGCAGUCAACACAAUAAGCAUUCCGCCUGGGGAGUACGGCCGCAAGGUUGCAACUCAAA